rnacentral:rRNA from 1 species
GACGAACGCUGGCGGCGUGCUUAACACAUGCAAGUCGAACGGAAAGGCCCUGCUUUUGUGGGGUGCUCGAGUGGCGAACGGGUGAGUAACACGUGAGUAACCUGCCCUUUACUUUGGGAUAACUUCAGGAAACUGGGGCUAAUACCGGAUAGGAGCUCCUGCUGCAUGGUGGGGGUUGGAAAGUUUCGGCGGUUGGGGAUGGACUCGCGGCUUAUCAGCUUGUUGGUGGGGUAGUGGCUUACCAAGGCUUUGACGGGUAGCCGGCCUGAGAGGGUGACCGGCCACAUUGGGACUGAGAUACGGCCCAGACUCCUACGGGAGGCAGCAGUGGGGAAUAUUGCACAAUGGGCGGAAGCCCGAUGCAGCAACGCCGCGUGCGGGAUGACGGCCUUCGGGUUGUAAACCGCUUUCGCCUGUGACGAAGCGUGAGUGACGGUAAUGGGUGAAGAAGCACCGGCUAAGUACGUG